rnacentral:lncRNA from 1 species
UGUGUGUCUUCCACUAGUGCAGAUUGAUGUUAUCCUGGGUAUGAACUGGUUGGUGUUUAACCGAGUUUAUAUCAACUGUUUUGAUAAGAUUGUGAUCUUUCUUGAGAUUGAGGAAGGAAAGAGUUUAUUUCUAUCAGCAAGGCAGGUGAAUGAGGCAGUAGCAGAUGGGGCAGAGUUGUUCAUGCUGUUAGCUACUAUGGAGGCUAAAGAUAAA